rnacentral:rRNA from 1 species
ACGGCUCAGUAACACGUGGACAACCUGCCCUUAGGUUGGGUAUAAACCCGGGAAACUGGGUAUAAUACCCGAUAGGUCUCGAUUGCUGGAAUGCAUCGAGAUUUAAAGCUCCGGCGCCUAAGGAUGGGUCUGCGGCCUAUCAGGUAGUAGUGGGUGUAGCGUACCUACUAGCCUACGACGGGUACGGGUUGUGAGAGCAAGAGCCCGGAGAUGGAUUCUGAGACACGAAUCCAGGCCCUACGGGGUGCAGCAGGCGCGAAAACUUUACAAUGCUGGCAACAGCGAUAAGGGAACCUCGAGUGCCAGGUUACAAAUCUGGCUGUCGAGAUGCCUAAAAAGCAUUUCAUAGCAAGGGCCGGGCAAGACCGGUGCCAGCCGCCGCGGUAACACCGGCGGCUCGAGUGGUAACCGUUAUUAUUGGGUCUAAAGGGUCUGUAGCCGGCCGGAUAAGUCUCUUGAGAAAUCUGGCAGCUUAACUGUCAGGCUUUCAGGAGAUACUGUCUGGCUCGAGGCCGGGAGAGGUGAGAGGUACUUCAGGGGUAGGGGUGAAAUCUUGUAAUCCUUGAAGGACCACCAGUGGCGAAGGCGUCUCACCAGAACGGACCUGACGGCAAGGGACGAAAGCUAGGGGCACGAACCGGAUUAGAUACCCGGGUAGUCCUAGCCGUAAACGAUACUCGCUAGGUGUCGGCCACGGUGCGACCGUUGUCGGUGCCGUAGGGAAGCCGUGAAGCGAGCCACCUGGGAAGUACGGCCGCAAGGCUGAAACUUAAAGGAAUUGGCGGGGGAGCACCACAACGGGUGGAGCUUGCGGUUUAAUUGGAUUCAACGCCGGG